rnacentral:rRNA from 1 species
GCUACACAGCGAUGUGAUGCUAAUCUCAAAAAGCCGAUCGUAGUCCGGAUUGGAGUCUGCAACUCGACUCCAUGAAGUCGGAAUCGCUAGUAAUCGCGGAUCAGAAUGCCGCGGUGAAUACGUUCCCGGGCCUUGUACACACCGCCCGUCACACCAUGGGAGUUUGUUGCACCAGAAGUAGCUAGCCUAACUGCAAAGAGGGCGGUUACCACGGUGUGGCCGAUGACUGGGGUGAAGUCGUAACAAGGUAGC